rnacentral:sRNA from 1 species
AAAGUCAACAAGGUGAAGCCUAUAGGAGAGAACAAUGAGAAUGAACAAAGUUCUCGUCGGAAUGAAGGCUCUCAUCCAAGUAAUCAGUCUCAGCAAACCACAGCACAGGAAGAAAACAAAGGUGAAGAGAAAUCUCUCAAAACCAAGUCAACUCCAGUCACGUCUGAAGAGCCACACACCAACAUACAAGACAAACUCUCCAAGAAAAAUUCCUCUGGAGAUCUGACCACAAACCCUGACCCUCAAAAUGCAGCAGAACCAACUGGAACAGUGCCAGAGCAGAAGGAAAUGGACCCUGGGAAAGAAGGUCCAAACAGUUGACCCUAGAACAACAAGAAUUUGAACUGUGGUAACACUUAUCCCUGGAUUUUCUUCCUUCUCUGCCAUCUGUGAGACAGCAACACGAUCUCUCCUCUUCUUGCUCCUCCUCAGCCUACUCAACAUGAGGACAACUGGAUGCAGACCUUUCUGAUGAUCCACUUCCACUUAGGCAAUAGUAAAUAUAUGGUCUCUUCUUUAUGAUUUUAAUAACAUUUUCUCUUCUCUGGCUUGCUUUAUUGUAAGAAUGCAGUAUGUAACACGUAUAACAUGAAAUAUGUACCCAUCCAUAUGAACAAGUAAGGCUUCUGGCCAACAGUAGGCUAUUAGUAGUUAAGUUUGGGAGGAGUCAAAAGUCAUAUGCAAUUUUCAGCUACACAGGAGGUCCAGUGCCCCUAACCUCUACAUCAUUUAUGGGCCAACUGUAAUUUGCAAUAAAUUUUGACUGCUAGA